AGCGAACGCUGGCGGCAGGCCUAACACAUGCAAGUCGAACGAAGUCUUCGGACUUAGUGGCGGACGGGUGAGUAACACGUGGGAACGUGCCUUUAGGUUCGGAAUAACUCAGGGAAACUUGUGCUAACACCGAAUGUGCCCUUCGGGGGAAAGAUUUAUCGCCUUUAGAGCGGCCCGCGUCUGAUUAGCUAGUUGGUGAGGUAAAGGCUCACCAAGGCGACGAUCAGUAGCUGGUCCGAGAGGAUGAUCAGCCACAUUGGGACUGAGACACGGCCCAAACUCCUACGGGAGGCAGCAGUGGGGAAUCUUGCGCAAUGGGCGAAAGCCUGACGCAGCCAUGCCGCGUGAAUGAUGAAGGUCUUAGGAUUGUAAAAUUCUUUCACCGGGGACGAUAAUGACGGUACCCGGAGAAGAAGCCCCGGCUAACUUCGUGCCAGCCGCCGCCGUAAGAC
rnacentral:rRNA from 1 species